AAUUACCGUCCUGUAUUCGAAUGUUUCUGUUUCAGUACUGUUAAGAGGUUGGCUACCCUCUCACUGUGAUCUUCAUAUCCGGUGUACAGUCAAGAUUACGUAGAGAGUUUAACAGAAAAAUACGAGUAUAUGAACGAGUGACUCUGGGGCCAGUAGUUCAAUUGGUGAGAGGCGGUCCAGUCUGCAUUGAGUCCUAGGCAGCCAUGGGGAGAUCGGUUCGGCUGAAGAUUUAUCUUCAGCUCUGUCAACUGUGAAACUGAAGGCUCAAGAAAUCACCCAGAAAGGAUGUACGCUGGCGUCACCCCUCCGUGCAUCUGGAAAUACAGGAUUGGCUGACACGGAGUUACUGAACUUUGCCGGAAUAAGUAUACUCGUGCAUCUAGCGGGUGGUCUCUCAACAGUUCAGCAUUUUUAUUCUGGAUAAAGGCAUCUUACAUAAAGAAAAUGCACCACGUCCUUAUUUGAGAAUAGAAGCAUCAUUUCUAUGCACGUGUGAAGAUGUUCAGAUGUAAAGGCCCACCAUCUAUUAGCAUUCCGAAUAUUGAUUUACUUAAACGUGAAAUACCAUGCUAACAACAGUCCACCACUAGACCGCAUCUUCAGUCAAUGCAAACCGGUUUACAUUCUCACUCCAAGUUUCUUUGAGAUUCAUUUCAAUACUGUUCUCCCAUCUAUGUUAAGGUCUACCAAGUAGUCUCUCUCCUUCAGGUUUUCCGAUUAAACUGCGACAUCUCAAAUGCUCUCGUCUCGUUAUUCUCGACUUGAUCAGUAUCAUAAUUUUUAUCGAAGAGUAAAAAAUUAUGAAGCUCUUUAUUAUGUAAUAUUUUUUUUUCAUUAGCUUGUUACAUAUCCUCGCUCACAUUCAUAUAUCCUCUUCAGCACCCUGAUCUCAAAAGAGUCAAGUUAAAUCGGUCAGGGCUUACAGCAAUUAGGUUAGAUGACAGGGAUUUCAGUCUUGUCACAAAGAUAUUCUCCCCUUACUGGCCCUGGGGCCCACCCAGCACCUGAUGCUACUUCCCCGGAAGUAAAGAAAACCUCAAUUCGCACAUAAAAUUAGUUUUAGUUCUCUUCAACUAUACGUUCUGCGAAACCAUCCACGCGGACACUAGACGCCUCGGCACAAUGAGAAGGAAACAGUCUUUCAGAAACAUGACGGGAAUUUAAAUUUGAUUUCUCGGUUAGUAGCCCGCCCAGCUAAACUUGUUACCGCAUGUACUAGUUAUUUAAUUUGAAUUUCUGGUUAGCUGCUCCCUCCUCCCCAUUUGCACAUUCUUUUACUUCACAACACAUCUGCUGGACUCUCGUGUGAGGAACAUCUGCACCUCUGUUGCUGCUGAAGCUAUC